CAGGCUUAACACAUGCAAGUCGAGGGGCAUCAGGAAGAAAGCUUGCUUUCUUUGCUGGCGACCGGCGCACGGGUGAGUAACACGUAUCCAACCUGCCCUUUACUCGGGGAUAGCCUUUCGAAAGAAAGAUUAAUGCCCGAUGGCAUAAUGAUUCCGCAUGGUUUCAUUAUUAAAGGAUUCCGGUAAAGGAUGGGGAUGCGUUCCAUUAGGUUGUUGGUGAGGUAACGGCUCACCAAGCCUUCGAUGGAUAGGGGUUCUGAGAGGAAGGUCCCCCACAUUGGAACUGAGACACGGUCCAAACUCCUACGGGAGGCAGCAGUGAGGAAUAUUGGUCAAUGGGCGCUAGCCUGAACCAGCCAAGUAGCGUGAAGGAUGAAGGCUCUAUGGGUCGUAAACUUCUUUUAUAUAAGAAUAAAGUGCAGUAUGUAUACUGUUUUGUAUGUAUUAUAUGAAUAAGGAUCGGCUAACUCCGUGCCAGCAGCCGCGGUAAUACGGAGGAUCCGAGCGUUAUCCGGAUUUAUUGGGUUUAAAGGGAGCGUAGGUGGACUGGUAAGUCAGUUGUGAAAGUUUGCGGCUCAACCGUAAAAUUGCAGUUGAUACUGUCAGUCUUGAGUACAGUAGAGGUGGGCGGAAUUCGUGGUGUAGCGGUGAAAUGCUUAGAUAUCACGAAGAACUCCGAUUGCGAAGGCAGCUCACUGGACUGCAACUGACACUGAUGCUCGAAAGUGUGGGUAUCAAACAGGAUUAGAUACCCUGGUAGUCCACACAGUAAACGAUGAAUACUCGCUGUUUGCGAUAUACAGUAAGCGGCCAAGCGAAAGCAUUAAGUAUUCCACCUGGGGAGUACGCCGGCAACGGUGAAACUCAAAGGAAUUGACGGGGGCCCGCACAAGCGGAGGAACAUGUGGUUUAAUUCGAUGAUACGCGAGGAACCUUACCCGGGCUUAAAUUGCAGUGGAAUGAUGUGGAAACAUGUCAGUGAGCAAUCACCGCUGUGAAGGUGCUGCAUGGUUGUCGUCAGCUCGUGCCGUGAGGUGUCGGCUUAAGUGCCAUAACGAGCGCAACCCUUAUCUUUAGUUACUAACAGGUUAUGCUGAGGACUCUAGAGAGACUGCCGUCGUAAGAUGUGAGGAAGGUGGGGAUGACGUCAAAUCAGCACGGCCCUUACGUCCGGGGCUACACACGUGUUACAAUGGGGGGUACAGAAGGCAGCUAGCGGGUGACCGUAUGCUAAUCCCAAAAGCCUCUCUCAGUUCGGAUCGAAGUCUGCAACCCGACUUCGUGAAGCUGGAUUCGCUAGUAAUCGCGCAUCAGCCACGGCGCGGUGAAUACGUUCCCGGGCCUUGUACACACCGCCCGUCAAGCCAUGGGAGCCGGGGGUACCUGAAGUACGUAACCGCAAGGAUCGUCCUAGGGUAAAACUGGUGACUG
rnacentral:rRNA from 1 species